UAUAUGUUCUCUAUAAACCUCUGAAUCUUAUAGCAGAGUCUGAAACCAUCGUAGGAGAGAGAAAUGAAGACUCAUUGCUGGGUUCGAGCUUCUGAUUCUGAUUUCACUGGCCCACUUCCUCAACCUCGAAGUGGGCACACAGCUGUGAACAUCGGCAAGUCGAUGAUUGUAUUCUUCGGUGGCCUUUUAGACAAGAAAUUCCUAAAUGACGUCACAGUUUAUGACAUUGACAACGAUAUGUGGUUUCAACCAGAGUUCAUGGACAGUGGUUCUGAUGGGAAUACGGGCCCAAGUCCACGUGCUUUUCAUGUUGCUGUUUCAAUAGAUUGUCACAUGUUCAUAUUUGGUGGGAGGUCUGGUGCGAAUAGGCUUAGUGAUUUCUGGGUUCUGGAUACCGAUAUUUGGCAGUGGUCACAACUGACCACGUUUGGCGACUUGCCUUCACCUCGGGAUUUUGCAGCUGCUUCGGCUGUUGGAAACAGUAAAAUUGUGAUGUUUGGUGGCUGGGAUGAGAAAAAGUGGCUCUCAGAUGUCUAUGUCCUAGACACAUUUACACUUGAGUGGAUGGAGUUAUCAGUUUCAGGGACGAUACCUCCACCGAGAUGUGGCCAUUCUGCUACAAUGAUUGAAACACGGUUACUCAUCUAUGGUGGCAGAGGUGGUGGGGGUCCAAUCAUGGGUGAUCUAUGGGCUUUAAAAGGACUCAUUAAAGAAGAGAAUGAACCACCUGGGUGGACCCAAUUAAAGCUACCAGGACAAGCUCCUUCACCUCGUUGUGGACACACUGUGGCUUCUGGAGGGCCUUACCUUAUGUUAUUUGGAGGGCAUGGAACUGGUGGUUGGUUGAGCCGUUAUGAUGUUUAUUACAAUGACUGUGUUGUUCUAGACAGGGUGUCUGUGCAAUGGAAACGGUUGCAUAUUAUCAAUGAACCCCCGGCUGCUCGAGCAUAUCAUUCUAUGAACUGUGUUGGUUCUCGGUACCUCUUGUUUGGUGGCUUUGAUGGAAAAUCAACUUAUGGUGAUCUAUGGUGGCUUGUACCUGAAGAUGAUCCUAUUGCAAAGAGGUCUGGAAUAUCCUCUUCUGAAGUUGUUCCAGAAAGAGAUACAACCGUGGAAGAAAAGGAAAGCCAAAGAGAAGGAGAUGCAAUUGCAGAGUUGCAGAAACGAUUACAAAUAUCGGGUUUACUUUCAACUUCUGUGCACAUUGUCGAUGAAAUGGAAGACAAAGAACUAAUCCAACAAGCGUUAAGAGUUGGCGGUAAAGAUGCUGUCGGUAAUAUGCAGGCUGUGCAAGCACUCCGAGACCACUGGGCGAGAUCUGCUCCAGAAUCCAUAACUUUGAAGGAGAUUUCCCCAUUACUACAUGAUUACCAACGGCUGAUUACCCGCCAUCAUAUAGGAAAGGUUGGAUCUAAUCUUGAUGAGCUUGUGGGACUUGGUUUCGCUGGAAAAGGUGCACCGUUUCGCUUCUACCACAUAAAAACUGCUUCUCAGUUUCGCCUGAACGACAUCCCGAGUUUAUUAGCAGAGUACAAAGAGCUUGUCUCAUCUACAAAUAUAAGUUGACAGACAGCACCCAAAUCGGAUGCUCUAUGCAGCAGCCCUUGUUCGCGUUGAGAUGAAUGUGCAUUUCUGCCAUUGGCAUAGAAGAAACAAGGGCGAAAAUCGGGAGCUGCAAAAAAAAAGACAGCAGAGAGAAUAAGAUCUGGUGAAGGGAUUUGAGGUCACGAUUAGCUACUUCUAAUCUUCUUCUUACAUUGGACACCUCUUUUCUCAUUGGAUCUGUCAACUCUUCAAGUUCCUAAUGCAUUUACACACAGAAAUAAAUUGGCAAUUAAGAUUCUUGAUGUCACAGUCAUGUAACUAUGUAAGAAUGCCCGAACCAAUAGAAAACGGAAUGAAAUUUUGAAUAAA